rnacentral:tRNA from 1 species
UGGGUCGUGGCCAAAUGGUAAGGCACCGCUUUUUGGUAGCGUAGAUUGUAGGUUCGAGUCCUACCGACCCAGCCA